UAGGGAAUCUUCGGCAAUGGGGGCAACCCUGACCGAGCAACGCCGCGUGAGUGAAGAAGGUUUUCGGAUCGUAAAGCUCUGUUGUAAGAGAAGAACGUGUGUGAGAGUGGAAAGUUCACACAGUGACGGUAACUUACCAGAAAGGAACGGCUAACUACGUGCCAGCAGCCGCGGUAAUACGUAGGUCCCGAGCGUUGUCCGGAUUUAUUGGGCGUAAAGCGAGCGCAGGCGGUUUAAUAAGUCUGAAGUUAAAGGCAGUGGCUUAACCAUUGUUCGCUUUGGAAACUGUUAAACUUGAGUGCAGAAGGGGAGAGUGGAAUUCCAUGUGUAGCGGUGAAAUGCGUAGAUAUAUGGAGGAACACCGGUGGCGAAAGCGGCUCUCUGGUCUGUAACUGACGCUGAGGCUCGAAAGCGUGGGGAGCAAACAGG
rnacentral:rRNA from 1 species